rnacentral:rRNA from 1 species
UACGAAGGGGACUAGCGUUGUUCGGAAUUACUGGGCGUAAAGCGCACGUAGGCGGAUUGCUAAGUCAGGGGUGAAAUCCCGGGGCUCAACCUCGGAACUGCCUUUGAUACUGACAAUCUCGAGUCCGAUAGAGGUGGGUGGAAUUCCUAGUGUAGAGGUGAAACUCGUAGAUAUUAGGAAGAACACCGGUGGCGAAGGCGGCCCACUGGAUCGGUACUGACGCUGAGGUGCGAAAGCGUGGGGAGCAAACAGG